GGAAGUGAGGCGCCUCGGCGGGGAUCGCGGAUGGCCGGGAGAAGAAAUCGGAAAACAGGUUCCGAUCAGACAGCGGGUACUACCCAGGGCUGGCGGGGUCGGCGGGUAGUGGGGAGACGCUCUACGAGCGCGCAGAGGAAAAAGAAAAUUUUACCAGCAUCUGAAAAAGCUUGUUUCUGGAGGACCAUCUUGAGGCCACCUGCUCAGAGGUGGAAGAACAGAUUACGGUGUCAGCACGGCUGGCUUAUCCUGAAUCCUUGCUUCUUGGUUUGUAGGUGGAUGUCUUCUGCCUGUGUCUUCACGUGGUCUUCCUUCUGUGCGUGUCUCUGUCGUAAUGUCCUCUUAUAAGGACCCCAGUCAUCUUGGAUUAGGGUCCACCCUCGUGACCUCAGGUUAACUUAGUUAUCUCUUUAAAGAUUGCAUCUCCAAAUACAGUCAACCUCUGAGGUACUGGGGAUUAGUACUUCAGCAUAUGAAUUUUGAGGGACACAGUUCAACCCAUAACUCAUGGCCUCGGUGACAUGAAGAGCAGUUAGCAUGAGAGGCAUCAAAGAGGCACCAAGAGGUGAAGGGGUAUGGACUGCCGAGGCACUGGGGUGAGGAGGGGUCGCUGGAAGCCAGACAGCAGAGAAGAUGGCUCUGGGGUAAGCGGGGCCCUCCUGCUGCUGCCAAGUCACUUCAGUCAUGUCCGACUCUGCGCAACCCCAUAGACGGCAGCCCACCAGGCUCCUCCGUCCCUGGGAUUCUCCAGGCAAGAACACUGGAGUGGGUUGCUAUUGCCUCCUCCAUGGCCGUUGCCCUGCUAGCGCACCUAUCCUCACAGAGAUGGGCAGAAUUAGGAGUUUAAGGAAAUCAAAGACUCACUUGUACUGCUGAAGGGUAGGUCCUGUCACAAGGGGGCAGCAAAGACCCCAUUCAGCCAAGGUAAACGGGCCUGUUCACCCCUUUCUUAAGACAACUGUCAAAAAAAAAAAAAAGACAACUGUCUUGUCAGAAUUGGAAUGACCUCAAAGACAGACAUCCUCCCCCAUUUUAUUAAUGUGGAUCCAUUUUAAUGAUGCAGAAACUGAGGCCUGGAUUGGGGAGUGGACCACUCAAGCCUGCCAAUAAGUGGAUGAAGAGUCCAGGUUGGGCCUGGGUCUCCUCCCUUCUAGUUCAUUUAUUCAGCUAGUGUCUGUUCAAUACCCACUGCGCCCUAGGCACUGUUCUGGGCACUGCUGAAUAAAACAAGCAAAGAUCUCUGCCCUCAUGAGAAUACAAUCUAAUGAGGGGAGUUAGAUAUUAACACAAUGAAAAAUAUACAGUAUAUGCGAUGGCAGUUAAAAACGACACCAUAAGACAAUGGAAAGAUCAGACCAAAUUGAGAUAUCUGUGAGACAUAAGCAAGAAAGAGAACCAUCUACAAUAUAUAAAUCUCAAAAGUUCUCAGCCAAUAACUUAUGGAAAGAUGUCAGACCUCAUCAGUAACCACGAAGAUGCAGACCCAAACCACAGUGAAAGUUCACUUUGUACUCAUGGGACAAAUGAGUAUAAUGAAUGAGUAUACAUCAGUGUUGGUGAGGAUAUGGAGCAACAGGAACUCUUACCUGCUGCAAAUGAGGCUGGAAAUUGGUGCCACCACUACAGAAAAAUGACAUGAUUUAGUCGUGUUGACGCUGCCAACAAAGACUGUCACCUGCCAUUUCAGUAAAUGGAGAAUGUUGUAGCCACAAAGCCAUCAGCCACCACGGCCCCCUGUGUGCCCUGGGAGAGAUUCAGGAUGGAGAACAACAAGAUACUGGCCCUACAAAAUUAGCAUGCUUAUCAAAGGAAUGAUUUCAACAAGCCCACCCUUCUGCAUCUUCCCAUAUAGAAAAGCUCUCCAAUCA